GGUGAAUGAAUCGACUCACUGAAAAGGGCUGGAUACCUGCUCUGUUAUAUCACUGCUCUUCUACUUUUCUUUAUUAGAUUAUAGAGAUUUACAGUAUAGGUAACAAAUUAAAGACUCUCAAUUCCUUGUUUUUGUCAGCAUUUAUUCGUUUACUCUAAAUAUAUUUCAUUUUGAGAAGAAAUUUGCCAACCCUGUUGAUUUGAAGAAGGACAAUGAAUGGUAAAGGAUCUACUGCUAGUUGUUCCAGUGGCAACAAUAAAGCCGAAAACACAGGUGAAUUUUGUGAUGAUUCUCCACCAAAGAAGAUGAAGGCGUCUGGUGCUAUCUCAGCCCCGGAGGAUGGGGCUGGCGGGUUUAAAGCAGCAUGGUCAGAUGCUGUCAAAACAUCAAUCUCCUGUUCACAAAAUACUCAGAGGUUCUGCGGUAGGUGCACAGACACGAUCGGAUUCUCCGUCCUCCCUAGUAAAACGAAUCUAUCAUUUAUAAUUCAGUUAUAUUCAUUUAUAAUAAAAUAUAUAACAGCG